rnacentral:rRNA from 1 species
GACGAACGCUGGCGGCGUGCUUAACACAUGCAAGUCGAACGGAAAGGCCCUGCUUUUGUGGGGUGCUCGAGUGGCGAACGGGUGAGUAACACGUGAGUAACCUGCCCUUGACUUUGGGAUAACUUCAGGAAACUGGGGCUAAUACCGGAUAGGAGCUCCUGCUGCAUGGUGGGGGUUGGAAAGUUUCGGCGGUUGGGGAUGGACUCGCGGCUUAUCAGCUUGUUGGUGGGGUAGUGGCUUACCAAGGCUUUGACGGGUAGCCGGCCUGAGAGGGUGACCGGCCACAUUGGGACUGAGAUACGGCCCAGACUCCUACGGGAGGCAGCAGUGGGGAAUAUUGCACAAUGGGCGGAAGUCUGAUGCAGCAACGCCGCGUGCGGGAUGACGGCCUUCGGGUUGUAAACCGCUUUCGCCUGUGACGAAGCGUGAGUGACGGUAAUGGGUAAAGAAGCACCAGCUAACUACGUG